rnacentral:rRNA from 1 species
UACGAGGGGUGCAAGCGUUGCUCGGAAUUAUUGGGCGUAAAGGGUGCGUAGGCGGGUCUUUAAGUCAGGGGUGAAAUCCUGGAGCUCAACUCCAGAACUGCCUUUGAUACUGAAGAUCUUGAGUCCGGGAGAGGUGAGUGGAACUGCGAGUGUAGAGGUGAAAUUCGUAGAUAUUCGCAAGAACACCAGUGGCGAAGGCGGCUCACUGGCCCGGUACUGACGCUGAGGCACGAAAGCGUGGGGAGCAAACAGG